UGGGAGUUUCCUGCACUUGGUUGGACUGGAAGAUCCAUAGAUCCUAAGAAAUUCCUGAGCCUCUGUCACUGAGCAGAUAUCUCAUAUUUGCUGCACAGGAAGCAUGAGAAGUUACCUCUCCUGUCCUGAGAGGUAACUGAUUGUCAGCACUGGGGAGAUUGCCUGGGGCACCUGCAGCAAAUUUACCAAGUACUUAAUGCAGCUGUACUCUCAACUAAACGGGAAUUAUGAACAAGGAAGAAAAACCUUAAAUGCAUCAUUGACUUUCAGGUAGCUGUCCUUACAUGCAGUGGUACUCAAGGUAACUGUGAUGUUCCAUGUGGCCUUCCACCCUGUUGUCCUUGACACCAGCAGUCUCGCCUCUACUCCUGUCUCUUGCUUCUCUUCCUUCUCCUCUCAUUUUUUUUUUACUUAGCCUCUAGAAAAGUAAAAUCAAGGGAUGACAGAAUUGAGAAUCUCUAGCUUUCCACGGCUGCAGAGGAUCUGACCCCUAAAUGGACUUGACCAUGAUUCCUGACUGGGGUUAAGUACACGUCAGCUUAGGAGAGGAAAGAACAACCACAUCAUUCAAAGCACAUUUGAGUGGAGUUUGCCAGAAAUGACAUAAUCACUGGGCAACGUUAACUUCAGCACCCAUAUCCACAGCUGCUACUAUCUGCAAAAACGCACUUAAGACUGAUUUAUUAUCAUGUCACAGAUCAUAAAUCCAAAUUGCAAUUCACAUAAAGGGAAGAAGCUAUCUUACUUGUCAUCUCGAUGGAAAGUUGCUUUUGCUUAGGAUUUAUUCUUUUAUCUUUUUUGGUCCCCUGACACUGAAUAGGACUAUGAGGUGGCUCCCUGAGGAGACGGGUAAUGGCUUGGUAAGCUAUAAAUCUCCAGUGCUAGCAAAACAGCUGACAAAAAGUAAGCACCCAAAAAAUGUUUACACACAAGAUUAACAAAUACAUGAAUGAAUAAUUGUUGUUCCUAUUUGAAAGAUGAGAAAUCUGAAAUCAAAGGAAGUGUUAUUUACUUAGGGACAUAAUGCUACUUGGGGACAGAACCAGGAUAAUGUCUCCUAACCUUGCGUUCUUUUCACUCAUGCAAAUCUCAUGUAGAAAUACUGGUUUUUAUAUGUAAGAGGAAAGAAGGAAACAUGAUAAAAAAUGCACACAGCAGAGACAAUCUAAUCUCCUAAUGAAAGACAUUAUUCUAUUAUUUUUUUCAGUCUUACUUCCAUCAGCCGAUAUGGUAUAAGGGCUAACUACACAUCGACUCUACAUUUUCAUAGUUGUAACUAAUGUUUUAAUAUACUCGUAGAAAACUGGUGAAGAAAUUGCCAUGACCAGACUCACAGGUAGUGUCCUGAGGCUUCUAAGGAAACGGACUUUGGUUAAAGGAGUAUAGAGGAGUCAGGCUGAGAGAGAGAAAGAAAGAGACAAAGACAAAGUCAGGGACAGAGACAGGGAGUGGGGAGAUGAAGGGAAGGGAACAGAGGGGAGAUAGGGAGGGGAAAGGGGAAAAGAACGAAAGGGAAGGGGAAGGGGGAGAGGGAGGGGG
rnacentral:lncRNA from 13 species